rnacentral:rRNA from 1 species
AUUGAACGCUGGCGGCAGGCUUAACACAUGCAAGUCGAGCGGAGAGAGGUAGCUUGCUACUGAUCUUAGCGGCGGACGGGUGAGUAAUGCUUAGGAAUCUGCCUAUUAGUGGGGGACAACAUUUCGAAAGGAAUGCUAAUACCGCAUACGUCCUACGGGAGAAAGCAGGGGAUCUUCGGACCUUGCGCUAAUAGAUGAGCCUAAGUCGGAUUAGCUAGUUGGUGGGGUAAAGGCCUACCAAGGCGACGAUCUGUAGCGGGUCUGAGAGGAUGAUCCGCCACACUGGGACUGGGACACGGCCCAGACUCCUACGGGAGGCAGCAGUGGGGAAUAUUGGACAAUGGGCGCAGGCCUGAUCCAGCCAUGCCGCGUGUGUGAAGAAGGCCUUAUGGUUGUAAAGCACUUUAAGCGAGGAGGAGGCUACUUUAGAUAAUACCUAGAGAUAGUGAACGUUACUCGCAGAAUAAGCACCGGCUAACUCUGUGCCAGCAGCCGCCGUAA